AAUGUUCCGUGUUCCGUGUUCCAUGUUUGUUACGAAUCUGUGUGCUUUCCUCUGCUUUAUAUUCCUGCAUUUCUGCUUUACUCUGUUUUAUAUUCCUUAUGGCUGCAGUAUCUAUGUUAUGUCAUCUGCUUCUGUGCUGUACUAUGUGUUUGUGUGAUAUCUCGUAUCUCGUAACUUGAGCCGGGGGUCUUUCGGAAACAGCCUUUCUACUUCAUCAGAGGUAGAGGUAUGGACUGCGUACAUCUUACCCCCCCAGACCCCACUAAGUGGGAAUACACUGGGUUUGUUGUAG
rnacentral:lncRNA from 1 species